ACCAAGGCUUUUAUCAAAGCCAAUUACCAGAAAAUUAAAUAUAUUU
rfam:Fukomys damarensis contig134919, whole genome shotgun sequence.